AGGACGAACGCUGGCGGCGUGCUUAACACAUGCAAGUCGAACGGAAAGGCCCUUCGGGGUACUCGAGUGGCGAACGGGUGAGUAACACGUGAGCAAUCUGCCCCUAGCUCUGGGAUAGCUCCGGGAAAACCGGGAUUAAUACCAGAUAUUACUACGGCCGACAUCAGCUGUGGUGGAAAGAAUUUCGGCUAGGGAUGAGCUCGCGGCCUAUCAGCUUGUUGGUGGGGUAAAGGCCCACCAAGGCGACGACGGGUAGCCGGCCUGAGAGGGCGACCGGCCACACUGGGACUGAGACACGGCCCAGACUCCUACGGGAGGCAGCAGUGGGGAAUAUUGCGCAAUGGGCGAAAGCCUGACGCAGCGACGCCGCGUGCGGGAUGAAGGCCUUCGGGUUGUAAACCGCUUUCAGCAGGGACGAAGCGAAAGUGACGGUACCUGCAGAAGAAGCGCCGGCUAACUACGCGCCAGCAGCCGCGGUAA
rnacentral:rRNA from 1 species